CAUUCAUUACCCACUCAGCAGCCUGGUUCCUGUAAAUUCCACCCAGGACCCUGCUGGCCACAGUUUCCUCCAGCACAUUUGGUCUUCCGGGGUGCCUGCUGUUAUUUAGGGGAGACCAUUUCUGACAUUUGUUUACUAGAAAGCUUCCUGUUGUACCAGACCCAUCAGCCUGCUGGUGUGCACUUGCACGAGACACUAGGACGACCUCCAGACCUUGGAUUGAAUCCUUCGGCCUCUAGCGUUAGACACCCUCUGUUCGCUUCCUCAUCGGACUCUGUGGCCGACCAUCUUGCUCAAUUGCACAGGCUGGAUUCUAAUUUGCGUUAGUCCCAUCUCAGCCUCCCAGAGUUCUGCAAUUAAAGGCCUGUGCUUCCAGGACCAGCAGCAAAACAUCAGAAUGUACCACCGUCUGUGGGAUAACAAUCCAAGGAUCAGUCUGCUGAGGAGAAUCUGGCAGAAGUCUAGAAACUCUGGAUGCAUCUUGGUUUCCUGCAUGGGACUUGUGACUGUGGCUGUGGGAAUGGUUCUCGUUUUACGGGCCCACUCUGCAUCUGUGAGUUUCGCUAUUGGAAUAACAAUUAUAUUUAUAAGCUCAUUUAUAGUCUUCUUUGCCGGUUUGUCGGCCUGGUUUAGAGCUCAGGAAAUGCUACAGAUAAGCCAGGACACAGGUGGCCAGCAGGACGGGACUGAUUCAUUCUGUGUGAUACAGGACAUUCUGGACACAGGCAGCCCCUCCCUGUGAUACAGAGACCUGUGAUAUCAGAAACCCGCUGGAAUGUUGAAGUCUUUAAAGUGUUUGUUUUUGAGCCAGGGUCUUGCUAUGUAGUACAGGCUCGCCUUGAAUUGGCGUAUGUCGCUGCCUGAACUGAUGGUAAUAUUCCUGCUUCAGCCUCCUGAGUGCUGAGAUUACAGGGAUGCACCACUAUGCCUGGCUUAAGUAUUGUUUUUAAGUACAAAUAAAAUUUGCGCAUUUAAAAAACAAA